rnacentral:rRNA from 1 species
CCUACGGGCGGCUGCAGUGGGGAAUAUUGCACAAUGGGCGCAAGCCUGAUGCAGCCAUGCCGCGUGUGUGAAGAAGGCCUUCGGGUUGUAAAGCACUUUCAGCGGGGAGGAAGGCGUUAAGGUUAAUAACCUUGGCGAUUGACGUUACCCGCAGAAGAAGCACCGGCUAACUCCGCGCCAGCAGCCGCGGUAAUACGGAGGGUGCAAGCGUUAAUCGGAAUUACUGGGCGUAAAGCGCACGCAGGCGGUCUGUCAAGUCGGAUGUGAAAUCCCCGGGCUCAACCUGGGAACUGCAUUCGAAACUGGCAGGCUAGAGUCUUGUAGAGGGGGGUAGAAUUCCAGGUGUAGCGGUGAAAUGCGUAGAGAUCUGGAGGAAUACCGGUGGCGAAGGCGGCCCCCUGGACAAAGACUGACGCUCAGGUGCGAAAGCGUGGGGAGCAAACAGGAUUAGAUACCCUAGUAGUC